UGUCUCGAGGUUCCGCGAAGGACGCAUGAAAACUUCGCCGCACGUGUGAAGUCUGCUAGACGUGGCGCGAGAAACGCUUUCGACACCGCCAUACAUUGAGCUUGGGCAGGGGUGUAUUAGUUUUUCGAUCCAGAUGCUUCGGAAAAGCCGCGUCAAAAGGGGAUUCGUGGGCACCGCUUUGGCUGUUGUAGCAGUUGCCGAAGCCGCUGCCUUUUGUGGUUGCUACUACUACUACCGGCGGCUCAACCGCUCGCAAGAGUACCGCUACUGGAUGUACCAGAACUUCAAGCCCGGUCUCGAAGCCUACUACAGGACUGGAGAAGUGUUUGGUGAUAAUGCCAUACGCACGUACGACUACAAGACCUGGGGCGUAGAAGAGUGAGUGGCUGCUGCAAAUCACGGGGUCCUCUGCCAUAGAAGGGCAACCUCAGCUCGAGCACCGUCUGGACGUCUUGGACAAGUUCAGCCAGAGCAAGCGGCAGCUGGAGCAGCUCUUGGACACCAAUGACUUGGCACAGCUAGAUGGGAAGUUGCAGGAGUUGCAGGCCAUAAUUAUGGAAGUGGCAAGUCAUCUGCCUGCGGCCAGUUUGUGCUGGGUUCAGGAGCAGUUUGCAGCACUGAGGUCACGAGUGGACGAGGUGCAGGAGAAGCUCAAACCACGCAAGCGCUUUGCCUUCAAGUCGGCAAGGGUCUCUGUGGCACCCAUCGGCAGUGAUGCCAGACUGGAGGGACAUGCGAGCCUGAGCCAAGCUUCCCUGCUGGUACUGUGAAAAAUUUGUGCAUCGUGGGCUUUCAAGGAAAAUUAGAAAAGACGCUGAUACUGUCGGAGGUCGACGUCAAGGACACGGAACUCGACUCUCUCGACGACUGCCAAGUGACCGUUGAAGGCUGUCCAGCCACACUGUUUGCUUGCAGGCUCAGGAACUGCGACAUCCGGUGUGGACCAGUGGCCAGCUCCGUGUUUCUAGAACUGUGUGAGAGCUGUACAUUUCUUGUUGCCCAUCAUCAGCUGCGCAUUCAAGACUUCUAAACGUGUGAAUUUCAAGUGCAUGUCCGGACGUGCUCUAUUAUUGAGGACUCGCAAGAGCUCCUCCUCAGCAAGUAUGACUUCGCCUAGGACAGAGACAAGCAAGAUUGGCGUGCAUCACACCUGGACAGGACAGUCAACAACUGAGACAAGAUUGAUGACUUCAACUGUCUUGUAGCCGAUAAGCCUUAGCCCAACUGGAAGCUGUCGCAGGCAUAAUAGGGUAUAUGUGCCACAAUAAAUGCACACAUUGUUGUGAAUGAG